UAUUCUCCUAAAUUUAUAUGUUUUGGCCAGCCCUAUUUUAUUUCCUUUUUACAAAACGUCUUAACCAAAAAUUAGUCCCCUCAUUAUUAGAUAACCUAGCCGUCACUUAAAUCUUAAAAUUCUCUGGAAUCACACGCUGCAACUCCUCCCUUUUCUCUCCAAUUCUCGGCAAGUUUAAGCUUUUGAUAAUUAAUUUUGGUUACAAUCGUCAUGUUCCGUUUCUUAGCUCGUUCUCUUUUGUUUUAGUAUCAAAUUGGAAUCUGUCUCGUCUCAGCUGUAGUAGACUCAACCCUCUUCAAUUCUAAUGUUUGUUUUCGUCAAACGACCCGUCGACUGCUCGUGCUUCGGAGUCUACGCAGGGUUAGCUGUUUGCCAAGAAUCAUGUGGAUAAGCAAGCAACCCGUCUACUGUUCGUGCUUCAGAGGCGAACCAGGAUUAGUGCUUGCCGGUAUUUCACGUGGAUUAGCAAGCAGGUUAUGAUCUGAGAGAGUCUGGUGAUCUCCGCAUUUACUUUUCCUCGGAGGUUCCAUUUAUUUUGAUAAACUGUCAAACUAUUUUAUUCUUAGACCGCAGUAGUUGACUAGACGUCUUUAUUAUUAUUACGGUUAUUUGUCGGAUUGGUCUGACUAGUUAUAUUGCUCUGGCAUGUUAUGUAAUUAUUUCGGAUUAUUUAUGUUAUGCCUAUUUUUAGACUCAGAAUUGGAUAAGCAUGUUAUAUCAUCUGUUGAAUAUUAUAUCUGCUAGAUUUAGGCUGAAGUCUCGGUUGCCCCCGAGCAUUGGUUUUCUGCAGGUUUAUGUGUUUAUGUGUUAAAUGAUAGGCUAGCUACGGGUUUCGGUACUACAUUACCCAUACCCUAGCGCCAGUCGCGAUUCAUGAAAAUGGGUCGUGACACACACGCUGCAACUCCUCCCUUUUCUCUCCAAUUCUCGGCAAGUUUAAGCUUUUGAUAAUUAAUUUUGGUUACAAUCGUCAUGUUCCGUUUCUUAGCUCGUUCUCUUUUGUUUUAGUAUCAAAUUGGAAUCCGUCUCGUCUCAGCUGUAGUAGACUCAACCCUCUUCGAUUCUAAUGUUUGUUUUCGUCAAACGACUCGUCGACUGCUCGUGCUUCGGAGUCUACGCAGGGUUAGCUGUUUGCCAAGAAUCAUGUGGAUAAGCAAGCAGUGAGUUUGUAGUGCUAUUUACCGCUUUAUUAAGUACCGCAUCGUAUUUUAAUAUUAUAAAUGCUUUUGAAA